rnacentral:pre_miRNA from 1 species
AGGUGCCAUACGUUCUGGAAGAAUUUCUAGGUACACUGGUUCCAUUGGGUGUGCUGGAUUCUCUUCCUGAAUUGGUGGUCUCCU